ACGAUAGUAUGGAAAAUGAAAUGCUAAAAGAUUCAUCUUAAGUGGAAUUAAGCAGCUUGACACUCUCCACAUUUGCUUGCUACAGGUCAGCUCAAGUCCAAAAUACACCAUUUUUAAAUUAUUUAUUUUACAAUAUUAAAGCCCAUCCAAUUCAAACUGACUCAGGUGGAAUAAAUAAACAUGAACAAAGAAAUGCACCAAGCAAUUCACUGAAAUCAUCAAUAAACAUUAACGAGAUGGGCCUUAUUUUAUUGACUGUUAUAUUCUGAGCAGUUUGUGGAAAACUGAGCAGGAAAGAAUGAACCAGUAGAAGAAAAUAUUCAGAGUCUACAUUCAGCAAAGCAGGCAGAAUGUAAAUCUGGAUGGAAUAAGAGUAUGAAAAAUAACAAGUUGUUGACUAAUGC